rnacentral:lncRNA from 1 species
CACGACUGUGAGCCACGAGCCCUCCCAAAUGCAAGGGGUGAGGGGUCCGAGGCCGCGUCUUGAUGGGGGAGUGGGGGUUUCCAGAAGAGAAUGUGGGACAGGGAUGACUGAGGCCAGUUUCAGAAAACCAUGCCUGGCAUGGAGGUUUAUGUCAUAAGCAUUAUUUAUGACAUAAGACAAAUAGACCACAGAGCCUUUUCCUCCCAGGCUGGGUGGUAUCUGGGGAUGCUCGCUGCUCCGUAGUUGCCUCGGGGUCCAUCCGUGUCAUCACAAUCGACAGGAUUUCCUUCAUUUCAUGGCUGAAAAGUAUUCACACACUUCUUCCUGGGCUCCAGCAGUGGUGGCACCUUGGCACCUCCCUUGAGAAAGGUUUAAGCUGCACCUCGGACCAGCUGCCUCAUGCUGAGACUAUGCUGGUCAGUGCUACCAUCAGUGUGUGGCCACCUGAUGCCAGUGGAAAGCCCUAGGAGCCCACAUCCCAGGAGCAGAAGCCACAGUCUCCUCGCUGCACCCCGUGUGCUCAAAGGAGCGAUCCUGAAACACCCUCCAGACGCCACUACAUGCAAAGCUCGUUGUGCUUCAAUAAAGGCCCUGGCAGCAUCCAUCAGGAGAUCUCCAAACAGCCUCAGGGCAGAGCUGGAGGUCAUUAGUGUCACCCGGCUCAUCCCAUGUCCCUUUUGGGAGGCUGAUCUCCAAGCAAAGGUCUUCAUGACUGCUGCAGAACAUGGAUUCACUCGCUUAUUCUAUCAACAAGCAGGACUCAUGCGGGAGCGGCCCCGCCAGGUUCCCGGACA